rnacentral:rRNA from 1 species
CGCGUAGGUGGUAGUGCAAGUCUGGGGUGGAAUCCCAGGGCUUAACCCUGGAACUGCCUUGGAAACUGUAUUACUUGAGUCAGUGAGGGGAGGGUAGAAUUCCUGGUGUAGCGGUGAAAUGCGUAGAUAUCAGGAGGAAGGCCUGUGGCGAAGGCGGCCCUCUGGCGCUGAACUGACACUGAGGCGCGAAAGCGUGGGGAGCAAACAGGAUUAGAUACCCUGGUAGUCCACGCCCUAAACGGUGGGUACUAGGUGUAGGGCUCGUAAGGGUUCUGUGCCGAAGCGAAAGCAUUAAGUACCCCGCCGGGGGAGUACGGCCGCAAGGUUGAA